rnacentral:lncRNA from 1 species
UGGAACAGAGUGUAUGUAUUUUCGAUGAUAAUAGUUCCCAAUGGUAAACUGGCAAACUAGUACUACCAGGGUUUAGCAGCUACAAGCAUAUAAAUUACAUGGUACACGAGAACGUGUAAUCGAGUUUCCACUUGUCGUUCACUGCAAACAGACCGCCAGCCAGGUUGAUGGGAGCACACCAGCUAUUCUAACCCCGCCCUUGAUUCUCCAAAUCAUUUCACAAGAACGAGAAUCAUCUCCUCUUGACGGCUCCGUAGUUCCUCGUGGCCUGCAAAACAACACAACUCUUGUUAACACCGUGUAACGCACGACACUAACGAUAUUUUCCCGUGACGAUUGCGAGGCGACAUCCUUCGCUUNGAUUUUAUCAAGCUCAUUUUUUCUUCAUUGUGCGCAGGUGAUUUUUGUGGAGCUUUCCAGGGAUGAGGCCCAGAGAAACCUAGACGAGAUGAAACGUUUGCUGCCAAGAUCCUCAACUCCCAGCCAUGGCAAUUUCAGUAACCAGAUGGUACGGUGUCAUUCAUUCUUUCUGAAAUUGUUCUGCCCAUGCGUCUUUCCAUAACGAUCCUAAGGCGAUAUAACAGCAAUGUUCUGACUUCUCUGGGAUUAUUUUACAGGUUAGCUCAGCAUAUACCAGGACUGUUUAUGUGGCAGGACCAUCUCUGUCGUCAGGCGUUGAACCACCAAUGAACUACUCAUAUGGACAAGGUGUGCAUGCUCCCGGUGCGCCGGCUGGCUACUCAAAUGCUCCAUAUCGAAUCCAGUCAAGCUACUCAAACGCCCCAUAUCAACAGCAGACAUAUACAAGCUACCCAAAUCCGAGCUAUCCAAACACCGCAGACCGGCAUCAAGUUCGCGCGAGCUACCCAAGCACCGCAGACCAGCAUCAAGUUCACACAAGCACCGCGAACCAACGUCAAGCCUACGGAAGCUACCCAAGCACCCCACUUCCCGGAUAUGGAUCACAGAAUGCAUAUGUCUCCCAAGGGUACCCAAGUCCAUACAGCAGCCCAGAUUACGCGACGAGCCUCUACCAGCAGUCUCCUGAGCCAGCGGGAGGCUACGGGGGAUCCGGCUACGGCAGACCUGCAGCCCAAGUUCAUGCCCAGCCAUUGCCUCAGGCUGUUCAUCAGCAGAUGCCAUAUCGUCAUGAUGGUGGUUCCUCAUACCAACCCUAUGGACAGCAGCCUCUUGGUAAGGGCUUAGCUUAUGUCCCAAGCUCUUGUUUGAGUUCACUCUUGAUUACCAAGCACCCAAAUUGAUUCGGAAAUCUGACAAGUUUCUCUUUCGACUGAUUACAGAUGCGCCCUACGUGAACACGAGCUCGCAGUACGGUGCUGCAGUUCCUGCUCCCAUGCCGCCUCCUCACGGAGCUCUUCUGCGUCCAGUUCCUGGGCCGCCGCCUUCGGCACCUCCCCCUCCUGCGUACUACAUGAAUGCACAGCCAGGCCGUUGGUAGCGAGUGCUGGAGCUCCGGGUAUCACAGGAUACCAGAGCAGAGUAGAUAAACGUGACCUACAUGCCUGUAAUUUGCUUUCAAGGUUCCCAGGAUGAGGAAACUGUUCCUAGAAUUGUGACAUUAUGUAUAGUUUUGCACGUAUGAGAAGAUGGCCUUUCCUGGAAAGGAUUAUCAGCAUUGUUUUCCUAAUUGAUCGAGAAAAAUGAUCCUCUGAUCAGUUUCAGUUCAAUGCUUUGCUUAACAGACUUCAUGCCACAGGCGUCACACGUAGGGAUGUAAAUGGCAAAUAAGUAGCGUCCGCAAGUCCCAUUUAAUUAGAUAAACCAUUUAAUUAGCUUUAUCUAGCUCCAUAGUUCAUUUUCCUUAAAAAAAAAAAAUUGAACUGUGAGACUGAUAGUGGAUUUAAACGGGAUUAAACGGGACCCAGUUCCCAUCCCUAGUUAGUCACACGACAGACAGCCUGGAACAGAGUGUAUGUAUUUUCGAUGAUAAUAGUUCCCAAUGGUAAACUGGCAAACUAGUACUACCAGGGUUUAGCAGCUACAAGCAUAUAAAUUACAUGGUACACGAGAACGUGUAAUCGAGUUUCCACUUGUCGUUCACUGCAAACAGACCGCCAGCCAGGUUGAUGGGAGCACACCAGCUAUUCUAACCCCGCCCUUGAUUCUCCAAAUCAUUUCACAAGAACGAGAAUCAUCUCCUCUUGACGGCUCCGUAGUUCCUCGUGGCCUGCAAAAC